rnacentral:tRNA from 1 species
AGGGAUUUAGCUUAGUGGUAAAAGCGCCUGCCUGGCAAGCACCAGGUCAGGAGUUUAAUCCCCA